UGGGGAAUAUUGCACAAUGGGCGCAAGCCUGAUGCAGCCAUGCCGCGUGUGUGAAGAAGGCCUUCGGGUUGUAAAGCACUUUCAGCGAGGAGGAAGGUGGUGAGCUUAAUACGCUCAUCAAUUGACGUUACUCGCAGAAGAAGCACCGGCUAACUCCGUGCCAGCAGCCGCGGUAAUACGGAGGGUGCAAGCGUUAAUCGGAAUUACUGGGCGUAAAGCGCACGCAGGCGGUUUGUUAAGUCAGAUGUGAAAUCCCCGGGCUCAACCUGGGAACUGCAUUUGAAACUGGCAAGCUAGAGUCUCGUAGAGGGGGGUAGAAUUCCAGGUGUAGCGGUGAAAUGCGUAGAGAUCUGGAGGAAUACCGGUGGCGAAGGCGGCCCCCUGGACGAAGACUGACGCUCAGGUGCGAAAAGCGUGGGGCAGCAAACAGGAUUAGAUACCCUGGUAGUCCACGCUGUAAAACGAUGUCGAUUUUGGAGGUUGUGCCCUUGAGGCGUGGCUUCCGGAGCUAACGCGUUAAAUCGA
rnacentral:rRNA from 1 species